rnacentral:rRNA from 1 species
GAUGAACGCUGGCGGCGUGCCUAAUACAUGCAAGUCGAGCGAACAGACUAGGAGCUUGCUCCUCUGACGUUAGCGGCGGACGGGUGAGUAACACUUGGAUAACCUACCUAUAAGACUGGGAUAACUUCGGGAAACCGGAGCUAAUACCGGAUAAUAUAUUGAACCGCAUGGUUCAAUAGUUAAAGACGGUUUUGCUGUCACUUAUAGAUGGAUCCGCGCCACAUUAGCUAGUUGGUAAGGUAACGGCUUACCAAGGCAACGAUGCGUGCCCGACCUGGGAGAGUGAUAGGCAACACUAGAACAGAGACACGGUCAAGAAUCCUACGAGAGGCAACAGUAGGGAAUCUUCCGCAAUGAGCGAAAGCAAAAAGGAGAAACGCCGCGUGAGUGAUAAAGGUCUACGGAUCGUAGAACUCUGUUAUAAGAGAAGAACAAAUGUGUAAGUAACUAUGCACGUAUUGACGGUACCUAAUCAGAAAGCCACGGCUAACUACGUG